rfam:Oryza glumipatula chromosome 7, whole genome shotgun sequence.
AAAAAGACAAACCGUGGGUUUGCGUGCCAACGUUUAACUGUCCGUCUUAUAUAAAAUUUUUUUAUAAUUAGUAUUUUCAUUGUUGUUAGAUGAUAAGACAUGAUGAAUACUUUAUGCAUGACUUAUCUUUUUAAUUUUUUUCAUAAUUUUUUUAAAUAAGACGGACGGUCAAACAUUAGACACGGAAACCAGGGUUUGUCUUUUU